rnacentral:rRNA from 1 species
AUUGAACGCUGGCGGCAUGCUUUACACAUGCAAGUCGAACGGUAACAGGCCGCAAGGUGCUGACGAGUGGCGAACGGGUGAGUAAUGCAUCGGAACGUGCCCAGUCGUGGGGGAUAACUACUCGAAAGAGUAGCUAAUACCGCAUACGAUCUAUGGAUGAAAGCGGGGGACCGUAAGGCCUCGCGCGAUUGGAGCGGCCGAUGUCAGAUUAGGUAGUUGGUGGGGUAAAGGCUCACCAAGCCCACGAUCUGUAGCUGGUCUGAGAGGACGACCAGCCACACUGGGACUGAGACACGGCCCAGACUCCUACGGGAGGCAGCAGUGGGGAAUGUUGGACAAUGGGCGCAAGCCUGAUCCAGCAAUGCCGCGUGCAGGAAGAAGGCCUUCGGGUUGUAAACUGCUUUUGUACGGAACGAAACGGCUCUGGUUAAUACCCGGGGCUAAUGACGGUACCGGAAGAAUAAGCACCGGCUAACUACGUG